UACGAAGGGGGCUAGCGCUGCUCGGAUUGACUGGGCGUAAAGGGCGCGUAGGCGGUUCGUACAGUCAGACGUGAAAUUCCUGGGCUCAACCUGGGGGCUGCGUUUGAUACGUGCGGACUUGAGUGCGGAAGAGGGUCGUGGAAUUCCCAGUGUAGAGGUGAAAUUCGUAGAUAUUGGGAAGAACACCGGUGGCGAAGGCGGCGACCUGGUCCGAUACUGACGCUGAGGCGCGAAAGCGUGGGGAGCAAACAGG
rnacentral:rRNA from 1 species